GCCGCCAACGGAGUCCAAAUAGAAGUGAUCUCUUUCUAGUAAUUAAAAUGUAUUUUAAGAUAGGUUAAUUCUGUCAAAAAUUUAUCUUUUCUCUUAUGGCCAAACAAUUCUAGUUAUUGAAUUUAUUAAUAGAAUCUUGGCACCUUCCAACACUUUCUCUUUCCCAAUGGAAAAACUAGUCAUAUUUAGCUUCAUGAUACUUGUAUUCACAAUGCAUGAUUGAAAGGUCCAGCACUUUUUAUGCUAAGGUAAUUUUUUAUCACACUAACAAAAUUAUUGC
rnacentral:lncRNA from 1 species